rnacentral:snRNA from 1 species
GUACUUGUCUCUGAUAUGUCCUCCAUAGGAGGUCUAUAUUGAGCAGAUGCUUUUUGGUAUUGGGUGGUGGAACCGGAGCGUGCUCCAUCCACUCCAUGCAUUGACCUGGUAUUGCAGUGCUUCCAGGACCGGUGC